GUCGAACAAAUGGAUCCCAGGACUUAUUUUUUGUAAGACUAUUACUUAUUCUAUCCAUCUCUUUAUCUGCACGGCUAAAUUACGGGUACCUAAACACACCAACAUCGGUUGUCCAACGAUGGUAGGGAGUCAAACACAGACACACAUACAUACAUACAUAUAUACAUAUACAUAUAUGUAGACAGAGAGACAGAUAGAUAGACAGAUAGACAGACAGAUAGACAAAUAGAUAGAUAGAUAGAUAGAUAGAUAGAUAGAUAGAUAGAUAGAUAGAUAGAUAGAUAGAUAGAUAGAUAGAUAGAUAGAUAGAUAGAUAGAUAGAUAGAUAGAUAGAUACGAUUUAUACGACAAUAUUCUUUCAAUGCCAGUCUACCAAAUCCAUUCACAAGCGUUUGGUCGGCCCGAAGCUAUACUAGAAGACAUUUGCUCGAGGUGUUUGUUCUUUGUCUAUAACUUCGUUUCCAAAUUUCAAUACAUUUUACCUUCUUAUUUUUUUAAUUCUUUUAAAAUAUAUAAUCCUUUCUACUAGAGGCACAGGGCCUGACAUUUCUGUGGUGAGCGGGCCAGUCGAUUACAUCGACUCCAGUAAUUCACUGGUACUUAAUUUAUCGACCUCGAAAGGAUAAAAGGCAAAUUAGACUCAGCCGAAUUUGAACGUAAAGAAAAGACGAAAUGCCAUUAAGCAUACUGCUAACGAUUCUACCAGCUCGUCACCCUGUUUUUUUUUUUCUUUUUUUCAGUAUAUAUUGACGUUGUACCGAGUAAGAAAAGAAUAUUAAAAAAAACGCACGCAUUUAUCGCCUUCGAAGUUCCUUAAAUAUUGCUAACAUUUCUGCUAUAGAGGAUGGUUUUGAUAAACAUUUCUAAAUCAACGUCAAUAUUGGUAUUCCAGGGACCAGACAUGCUGUGCAAACAAAGUUAGUCAUGGCGUGCGUUUGUUGCGGUCUAGCAUAGAUGGGGGUGAACAAAAUACAUAUGACGGCAAGUGUAUCGGUUCGAUCAGCACUAACACUCAUCGAUUAUCUCACUGCGAACCAUUAUAUUUGGAUCUAAUCUUUAUCUUCCGAUUUCGUAACAGCAUGGAAACGUUCCGCUGUGUAACACAAUCCAUUUAAUAUUCAACAAACUACUCGUGUCCCAGUUCAUAUCUUCCAUCUUCGAUAACGAUUCUCUCUAAUCGAUAUAUCCGAUUCGAGCACCAGAGCAUACGUUACAUAAAUAUAUAGUUUAAUACAAAUCAGAGAAGCGGGAUUGUUAAUAUAGAUGUUGUUCUUGUUUUUGCUGCUGCUGCUGCUGCUGCUGCUGCUGUGGUUGUUUCCAUUGUCCUCGGUGUUGCUGUUCCAGUUUAGUCAUAUCUCAACUACGUUUGAUUCAGCAAAUCUGUUUUCCAAUAAAAGAGACUCGUGGAGGUUUCCAUUAGACGGGCAGCCCUAGACUACUAUUUCGGGGUCGGCUUUUUAUGUUUGUAUAAGCCAGGGAAUGGGAGCCGCCAAAUCAAGGACUACCCAAACGACACACAUUCUAUUUACGCCCCUGCUACAAACAGAUGCAUGCCAAAUGCGACCAUCCCAUUCAUUGUAUAUCAGUUUCUAUAUUAUUCAGUACGUAUUUCCUGAACCAAUCACGUACUGAGGUCCAUGUAAGCGACUUUUCCUCUCCUCAGUGGCCCGUUCAGGAGAAUAUUGUGAUUUCAGCCCCUUAUAUCCGAGAGAAGCAGACUGACAGGCCUUAUACAUAGAAAGUAUGUCUAAGACAGCGAUCUGUCAGAAUAGUUGGCAAAAUGUUUCUGGCAUUUUGUUGGACUUUACGUUGAGAUUCAAAUUAUGCCGCGGUCGAUUAUGCUUUUCCUCCGUUCGGGGUCGAUAAAUUAGGUAGCAGUUGACGACUGUGCCAAGAUCUGAAAUCGUUAUUAUAAGCACGGCUGAAGGCGGUGAGCUGGCAGUAUCGUUAGCACGCCGAGUUGCUUUGCGGUAUUUCGUCUGUCGCUACGUUCUGAGUUCAAAUUCCGCCGAGGUCGACUUUGCCUUUCAUCCUUUUGGGGGUCGAUUAAAUAAGUACCAGUUAUGAACUGGGGUCGAUAUAAUCGACUUAAUCCGUUUUUCUGUCCUUGUUUGUCUCCCCUGUGUUUAGCCCCUUGUGGGUAGUAAAGAAAUAGGUAUUUCAUCCGUUUUUGCCUUCUCAGUUCGAAUUCCAGCGAGGUUGACUUUACCUCUUACUAUUCCGAGGUCAAUAAAAUAAGCAUUAGUUGAGCAUUGGCGUCAAUGUAAUCGCCGUAUCCCCACCCUGAAAUUGCUAACCUCGUGCCAAAAUUUGAAAUCAUUAUUAUAAGCAUGUCUAAAGCAACGAGCUGGCACAAUUGUUCGCGUGCCGGGCAAAACCCGAGGUCAAUAAAAUAAAUAGCAGCUGUGCACAGGGUCGAUGUAAUCGACUUACCCCUUUCAUCGAAAUUGCAGGCCUUGUACCGGUAUCCCAAAGAAUUGUUUUAAGCAUGUCUCUUAUAGAUUGUUCACUUUUUUUGACAAUGGAAAAAUGUCUUGAUGGAAAUUUCUCCUGCUAAUUUAAUAAAAUAAACCGUAUUAUUAUUUUCUCUUAACAUUUAUUAAAUUCAAUUACAUUUCAUUUAAUAUUAUUAUAUUUCCAUUACUGUUUGUAGCCACACAAUUGCAAAAUGGUUACAUCUCUUAGUCACGAACAAAUUAACUAAUUACGGGUACAUUAAUUUCAUUACAUUUAUUUAAUUUUGAAAAAGGAAUAAAAAUAUUGAUGGAGAUAGGUAAAUAUAUUUGGUGGAAAUAUUUGAUAAAAAUUAAUAUGGUUUCAUAAUUUAUUUUUUGAUCAGACAGAAGGGAAACAAAUUCAAAUUGACAUUCAGGUUGAUUUUUUUUUCUAGAUUUUAUAGAACAAUACCAAUAUAUAGUAAAGAUUGUUUGCCAACAUAAUUUGGCAGUUCUGGUACCCAGCUUGGUGAUUUUGUUAAUGACAAACGUAGGGCAAACGCGAUUACGUGUUCGAUGUAGAAUAUCAGAACAUUUUCUAUCGAAACAGUUCCAUCUCGGUAGCUUUACAAAUUUUCUGUAAGCACGGCCUGGGUUUUGCAGCUGGAGAGCUUUAGCCAAUACAAGAUAAACCCUACAAACAGAGAAGAGAUGUCAGUCGAAGAUGCGUGGAGAUCGCUUGAACCAUUUUGCAAGGACUGUUUUGUAGAGAUAUUUUGAACUGCUGCGCAGCAUAUAGAAAAGAUCUCGCUUUGGGUCGAAAAUAUUUUUGAUGGUUUCCCCGCCGCUUUAGCCGCAAAGGACAAACAAUUUAUCUGUACCUGCUUUUAAGGACGUAUUAUGAUUCUAUUAUUGAUAAAACACUUCAUCCAGGAGAUCAUCAGUUACUUCGAGUUCUACUUGGAAUAAAAGAUGGUAGUGGACACGAAGGCACUGCUUUCUAACGAAUUGCCAUGAAAGCAGAUGUGAGGGGCAAUAACAGCUCCAAUAUACGAGGACUUCUACUCAACAUCCUCCCAUGGCCAAUGAACAAUGCUGGGAGAGGGAACUCACGGAAAUAUUGGAUGUAUGGCAUUCUUUGAUGGAACUUAAAUAAAUUAUCCUUAAUUUAGAAAGUUUCCUUUCGAACUUGAAACCUUUCUGUUGUUAUUUUUGUAAACCGAUUCUCUGUAAAAUUUCACAUUUUUAAAAUUGUUUCUUUAUUAAUAUUUUUCGCAUUGUGUACUUGUAAUGUACUCUCAACCUUCAAACCUGUACUAAAAUGAAUCAUCAUCGUCGUCGUCGCCACCGCCGCCGUUAUCAUCAUCAUCAUCAUCAUCAUCAUCAUCAUCACCACCACCACCACCAUCACCAACAACAACAUCAACACCACCACCACCACCAUCAUCAUCAUCAUCACCAUCAUCAUCAUUGAUGUCGUCGUCAUCGUCGUUGUUGCUGCUGCUGCUGCUACUAAUACUACUAUUACUACAACUACUACUAUCACUACCACUACCACCACCACCACCGCUACCACUCUUGUGGCUAAUAUAACUAAUUAUCACCAUCAUCAUCAUCACCAUCAACAUCGCCGUCAUCAUCGUCUCGUCUCGCCGUCGUCUUUAUUAUCAUCAUUAUCAUUCUCCUCCUCAUCCUCCUCCUCAUUAUUGUUGCUGUUCUUGUUGUUGCUAUCGCUGCUAUUGUUGUUGUUGUUGUUGCUGUUAUGCUAUGUUGUGUUUUCAAAAGAGAAAAAAAAUACAAAAAAUACAAAAGAAAGCAAAAACGAAACCCUCAUAUAAUGAGGUAUAUGUUAAAUUGAUAUUAAAUUGUAUUCCAUACAUGUUGUUACACGAUAUUCAUUUGCUAACAUUGGCACCAGACCAACAAAUUCAUGCUUCAAGAGAACACUUGAUUACAUCGACACGUUGUUGUUGUUGUUGUUACUGUUAUUUUCGUCGAUUUUUUUUUUAAGGUAAUGGCGGUUACGGCAAUGGCGAUGAUAAUGUCGGUUUUGGUGUUGGUGGCUGCCGGGAUGGUUCCAUUGUUAUUUCUGUUAUUGCUGCAUUUCCUGUUGUUUCGUUUUAGUUUUUCUCUUUUGUUUUAAUUUUUCCCUCCCAUUGCUGCAUUUCCUGUUACUCGGUUCUCCUGGUGAUGCCGAUGAUGUUACCGUUUAGUUUUUUUUCUGUUACUUAACGGUCAGGUCAGCUCUAAUGGAGUAGACCAGUAGUCAAGCAUGUUCCAGCUGUGUACAUCUUGCCUUUCUUCCAAACACAAUGUACCUAAAACCAUAUUAUUGUUUAUUUCUCCUUCUUUUGUUUCCAAACGGCUGAAUUUGAGUGCAAAUUUCGGGCUGAUUCUACCACGUAGAAACUUCGUUAUUGGCUCGCAUUGUUGUUAACAUUGUUUAACACAAGAUUGUUCUUAGUCGAGCACAUCUAUGUUGUAUAAUUGAAGUGCCCUUAUUUAAAAAUAAAAAUUAGUUUAUAAUUUCAAGGUUAUUUGACUGCUUUUUUCUAGCAUGCUAAGCGACCUUGUAUAAUUUCUGUCAUUGGAGCGGUAAAUGAGAGAUUUUAUAUUUUAAGUACAUUACUUUAUUUUAACCCUGUCUGAAUUGGGUUCUUCUAUCCAACUUUACCCUCCACUUGGGCUCCUCAGGGAAAAUAAAUAGUUGCAUAUACAGUUCAGCUUCACAAAUAAAUUGAGGAGAAUAAUAAUUAUAGUAAUCCUUUUUAAUAUAGGCACAAUACCUGGAUUUUCUGGGGAGGGGGACAGUCGAUCACAUCGACCCCAGUACGCGAUGGGUACUUAAUUUAUCGACCCUGAAAUGGUAAAAGGCAAAGUCGACCUCUGCGUAUUUUGAACUCAGAACGUAAAGACAGACGAAAUAUCGUUAAACAUUUCGACCGGAGUUCUCGCCGCCUUUCUCACUGCUUUGGUAUUCACACUAAUCAACAUCUAUCGCAGUGUUUCCCAACCCUUUUAUUGAAAUGAAUGGCCCAAAAAUAGGUUUACAGUUAUCACGUAAUCACUUUGAUAUUCUUUUAAAACAUUUUAUUACAUUUAAAUUUCUAUCUUACAAUUAACUAAAUUAGCAAAGAAUAAUGCUUUCGUAAAUUUUUAUCGUUAAGAUCUAAACUGUUAAUAUAUGAAUGCAAAAGAGAUUGUUGCAUAAUUAAAUAUACUUUUCGGUCACUCUGUAUAUAUUGGGUCAUCUCAUAAUUAAUGAGGUUUUAUCAACUGCAUGAACUAAAAGUCGUACUUAUUCUUAGUGCAAGUUUUGAAGAGUGCAAUUCGAUUUUAAGUUAUAUUUCAAAGCUAUAAUGGAAAUGACAAAGGAGCAUAUUCAACAUAUUUUGCUUUAUUAGUUUAAUAAAAGCAACAACGCUACGGAAAGUGCGAGGAAUAUUAAUACAGUAUACGGGGAUUGGACAAUAAACGUAAGGCAGUGUCAGUGGUGGUUCCAGAAAUUACGAUCCGGAAACUACAGUCUAGAAGACGAGCCUCGUCCUGGAAGUUCUGUAGAUCUCAACGAGGACGUCUUGAAAACCGUGGUGGAACAAAAUCCCAUCGUAACUGUGGAGGAACUAUCAGAGAAGCUUGGAUCUGGUCAUUCAACUAGUCAUUCCAAGUCAGUGCUAGAAGAAAAACGACCAUCUUUGGUUUCAAGACGAAAGGCGUUCUUCCUUUAGGAUAACGCUCGGCCACAUACAGCGAGGAUGAGAUUCCAAAGGCUGGAUAGGCAAAGUUUCCCCACCCACCAUAUUCGCGGGGCAUUGAUCCACCUGAUUAUAUAUUCCGCAGUCUUCAAAAUCAUUUGGACGGAAAAAAUAUGAAUUCUGUUGACGAAAUCAGAACAGUACCGGAGGAGUGUUUUUCGUCACGGACGAGUGAAUUUUGGCAGAAGGGCCUUGCAAGUCUAGCAGAUAGAUGGAAGAGCAUUGUGGAAAAUGAAGGAGAGUAUACUUUAGAUGAAAAAAAGAGCUUUGUUUAUCUUAACUUUGAAACAUAAAAUAUGUAUAGAAAAACCGCAUUAUUUAUAGGUUGACCCAAUAUAUAUAAGUAUGUAUAUAUUUUAUAUAUGUAUAUAUUUUAUAUAUGUAUAUAUUUUAUAUGAGAUUUAGUUCACGGACCAGCAAGGGUCUGCGGACUCCAGGCUGGUCUAUAGGAUCAACAAUUGCAACAUAUCAAUAAGUUGGAGAGCUGGCAGAAUCGUUAGCACGCCGGACAAAAUGCUUAGCGGCAUUUCGUCCGUCUUCACGUUCUGAGUUCAAAUUCCGCCGGGACCCACUUCGCCUUUCCUCCUUUCGGGGUCGAUUAAAUAAAACCAGUUGAACACUGCGUGUCGAUGUAAUCAACAUGGCCUCCUCCCACAUUCUUCGAAAUUGCUGGCUUUGUGCCAAAAUGUGAAAUCAAUUAGAACAUAACAGCAAGAACAACAACAACAGUAACACCAAUAACAACUACCAACACCGACAACAAUAACAACAAAACAAACUCCACCAAUAACAACAACAACGACGACGAUAACAACAUCAACGUAAUCAAGAAAGCCAACAGGAACUGCAACAAUACAACUGUAAUGAACAACAAGAACAACAACAACAACAACAACAACAACUACAAUAAUAAAAGCAACAAUCACUGUGAGGCAUUGAUUAAGUAUCGAAUCGUUUGUUUGUUUUUCUUUCAUGUAUUUCAAUCUAAAUUCGAAGAUGCAGACCUAAUUUGGAAAUCAGAGUCAAAUCAUUUAUUUAUUAAUAGCAAUAACGAUGCUGCGUAACGUUGGCACAAUUCCAAAGGCUGUAUGUUAGGAGGAGAUGAUUAUUUGAGAGGCCAUAACUGACUCCAGUAAAUGUUACAUGUAUCGUGAAAUCCACGAGGGAUUUAUAAAUCAACUGCUUUGGUCUAUGAGGGUCUCCACCGGUCAUACUUGCCGCCGCCGGGUUUUUGCAUUGAAGUAAUUAAUCGUUAUAGAAAUAUAAAUGUAAGCAUGAGCCAACGAGGAACCGGAGAGAUAAUGUGAAUGGCCUUAAACGGACGCUGGAGGAGUUAGAAAUAGCAGCUAAAUUGCGAUCAUAUUACUUUUAAAGCAAUUUUUAAAAAAAGUUUAAGAAAAGAGAUUGUAUUUUCAGAGGCGUGGCUGUAUGAUAAAGAGUUUCCUUCCGACACCACAGGGUUCCGGGUUCAGUCCCACUGCAUGGAAACUUGUACAAGUCUCAUGUACUCUGGCCCAAGGUCGACCAAGGCCAUGAGAGUGGAUUUGGAAGGCGGAAACUGAAAGAAGCCCAUCGUAUAUAUAUAUAUAUAUAUAUAUAUAUAUAUAUAUAUAUGAGUGUCUGUCUUACAAAACCGGUGUUUGUGUGUUUACAUUCCCUUAAAUCAGUAGUUCGGCUAAAGACAGCAAUAUAAUUAUUACAAGGCUUAUCGGUAAGUCGAUUACAUUGACCCGAGUUACUGACUGGUACUGAUUUUAUCCAACGUGAAUGGACAUAAGGCAAAGUCGACGUUGGUGGAAUUUGAACAUGGUAAGUUAAGUCGAAAGAAAUGUUGCUGAAGGUCAUGCGCACGCGUAGUUGUGAUGCAUGUGCCUAAUGUACCCUUAUCAGACGGGUAGUCAUGAUGGGUAUACUGGGUUUCGUAUAUUUUACCCCAGUGUCACUUUGAUGGCGUGUACUACUCUCUCACUCAAUAAUAAUAAUAAUAAUAAUAAUAAUAAUAAUAAUAAUAAUAAUAAUAAUAAUAAUAAUGAUGAUGAUGGUGAUGAUGAUGAUGAUGAUGAUGAUGAUGAUGAUGAUGAUGAUGAUGAUGAUGAUGAUGAUGAUGAUGAUAAUAAUGAUGAUAAUAAUAAUAAUAAUAAUAAUAAUAAUAAUAAUAAUAAUAAUAAUAAUAAUAAAAAUAAUAAUAAUAAUAAUAAAAAGACUAAAACAAUACCUGUUGUCAUAGGUGCCCUGGGAAUGAUAGCAAAAGGGGCUGAUUGCUACCUAACUCAGAUACCAGAAAAUGUCAGAAAUUCAAAAGAUAGUGCUCAUGGGAACUGCUCAUAUCCUACGCAAAAUACUUUCUAUGUAAUCUCAAGUUUUAAAACAAACAUAAUUUUCGUAUGUUUUUUUUUAGACAUUCACUAGUACAACACCAAAAAAAACAACAAAUAUAUGGCACACUAGGUAUAACAACAACAAGAACUUCCAACCUGUUGUCUCUUGAGGUCUCUGGGUAAGACUUGAAGCCAACUUGUACAAAUAUAAAGCAAAAGUCAAACAUAGAAUAAUAAUAAUAAUAAUAAUAGUCAAAAUCAUAUCGAAUAACAACUAAAUAUCGACCUGGUGUAUACCUUCCUGCAGUGUGUUAUUGAACGAAUGUCUUUUGGUUUAGAAAAUGAUAGCACAAAGUCUAUACGUGGCUAUUUACUCUGCGGAAUAUUUGCAUGUUACAGCUUUACAACACAAAUCCAGACAAUUAUCCUCAAGAAAUAAAAACCGAUAAUAUUGUUUUCACAAUUGAUUUUGUAAUAGCGGGUGACGUAAACACUGUGUUGAAUCGUGCUGAGAGAGUGAUGAUUUUCUACAAGGAUUGGUGAUUUUCAUUAAAAUCAAUGUCUUGCGGAGAAAGAAAGAAUAUAACCAAAAGAAGAAAAGACACUUGCGUACACGAUUCCAUUUGCAAAUUGCUACACCUGGAAUUAUAUUCUUACAAUUAUCUAAAGCUAUUGAAAGAAAACAUAAACACGAUGAAGGAAAUGGCAAAAGAAACAAAAAUACCUGAGACUGUUCUGGAAAUUUGUCUGUAAUUUUCUCUUCGUUUUGUUUUCUUUUUAUUCUUUUGCAAUUUGUUAUUUCCGUUGUCUUCUUGUUAUUGUUGCUGUUGUAGUUGCUGUUGCUUUUCAUACUGAUUAACCCUCUACUAAUCAUUUCACCAUCAUAGAUCGCUAGCCACUAUAACUUUUUCUAUUUUCUCUCCCCGUUUAUGUUUGUGUUCCUCUCUGUCGAAGAGCUCGAAACAUAAAAAAAACUUUCUCACUACCUGAGGGUUAAAUACAUCUGUUUGUUGUUUACACACCCGUCUUCGUCUUUUUUUUUUUUUUUUUUUGUAAAUUCUCACUACUAAUCACGACCGAGUUUGUCUAUGAUCGAAUAUAUUCCAUCUUUGACCAUCCCAUAUUUCCAGACAUCGACUGUAAUGGAACGGUCGGCGUUAUAAUCAAGAACACUCCGGACAUAAGAUUCCAGUUCCUACCUUGUGUUGCCAGUCGUAGUGUUGUUGACCAUAAUGACGGGUGGCUGGGUGAGUUGCAGAAUAAAAAUGUAUUUCUGGGCUGCGUGAAGAAGGAAGUGACGCGCAGGCGCGGCUAUGCGGCAAGAAGCUUGCUUCCUAACCACAUGGUUCUCGGUUCAGUCCCACGCCGUGACAUCUUGAGCAAGUGUCUUCCAGUAUAGCCUCCGGCCGACCAUAAGUAUAGAUUUGUGCGUUUGUUAUCUUUUGGAAUCAAAAGAAUUGGGACAUCCAAGCAAACGCCCGGCUUAUUCUGUGUCGAUUCUUAUCACUUUGGUAUUUACCGCCUGUUUGUACUAUGUCAGUUAUAUGAAAUGAAACCAAGCUUUAUCGUUAUAACCAAUAUUCUAUUCCCUGACACACGAGCUGCAUCGUAUCACGCAUUGCAGCACGAACAUAAUACACUAUCUAGGCCUACUUUCCAGUAUUUUUAUCGUUUCGAAAAACCCAUCAUAAGGUGCCAUAACUCUGCCAUCACGGAUGGAGGAGAUACGAAGAUGUAACACCAGUUCCUGACCAAUGUUAUUAUAUUAAUUAUUACGGGUAAAGCAUAAAGAAAAUAUUUAAGUUUUAGAAAUGCGUGUAUAUGUCAAUAUCCUCCUUGUUCGUUCUUAAAUUAAUAAUUCAGGCAAAGAUAAGUCCACCUUGGUCAAAUAUUCUGCUAUGAACACCUAGUGGUCAUUUAUUUUGAUCCUUUCUGCUAUCCUCUCUUGUAUUGCUCAAAACAACUUUCGCCAAUAAAACUUUGCCUAUUUCUUCGUUCGCCAAAAUUUGUAUUUUGUUGGUGCGUUAAUCACACCGAUGCAAAUAUUUCAAAUGUCUAUUUAAGCUGUUUAAAUGUCAAAGUAUUCUUCUACAAUGCAUGAGUCUUGCUGAGUAAUUGCACGAAUUGUGUUUAUUCUCUGUUUAGUUAGAGUUAUUUCAAAUUUAUCUUUGGGCGUUUCUCUAAAGAGAACCAUCUUGAUUAGGAUGUAAAAAGAAAAAAAAACAAUAUUUUUAAUUAUGUUUAAAAAUAACAGACUUUAUAUCUUUCUGGGUGUGAGUCAUUCUCGAUGUAACGAAUUCCAGAAGAUUCCUAGCUAAAAAUGAUUCAAAACCAGAAGAAUCUCCUGCCGUUUUACUUAUUAAAGUAUCUCAAAUACUAUAAUAUUAAUAAUGAUGAUGAUAAUACUAAUACUACUACUAAUAAUAAUAAUAUUCUUUUCUACUGGAAGCACAAGGCCUCAUAUUUGUGGGAAGGGUUUAAGUCGAUUACAUCGACCCCAGUAUGUAACUGGUGCUUGUUUAAUCUAAGGGUGAACGGUAAAGUCGAGACCUCGGCGGAAUUUGAACUUAGAGCGUAGCGACCGGCGAAAUACUGCUAAGCAUUUCGUCCAGCGUGCUAACGAUUGUGCAAGCUCGCUGUCUUAAAAAAAAAAAAUAAUAAUAAUAAUAGUAAUAAUAAUGAGGAUAAGAAGAAGAAGAAGAAGAAGAAGAAGAAGAAGAAGAAGAAGAAGAAGAAGAAGACAGGUAGUUACGAUGGUUAUACUGGGCUUAGUAUACUUUUACCCAGCUUCAUUUAUGGUGGUGCUCUAUCAAAUCAAUAAUAAAGAUAAUAGUAAAUAAUUAGUUAUAGAUGCAUUGGGAACUUUCCUUAAAGACCUGAAGAAGUGGAUAGAGGAAACAUGCAUAAAACCCAGUUUAGUACAGCUUCAGAAAACAGUGUUAUUAGGGAGAGCUAGGAUACUUUGGAGGGUUCUUAGCAUGAAAGUUUAGUUAGCGACUGGCAUGGAGAUAACUAGAUCUAGUAUCCACUGAAAAUGGGCAUGAACUGUCAGUGGUCGGAGCCCCUAGUUUCAGUGAUUGCCUCCACAUCGAUAUUUAGUCACCUGGGGUCGUUGAGUAGAUGACCCUGUUUCCAAAGCGACUCCAGGCCAGCGUGCGUUUAUAUUGCCAUUUGUGAGCGAGACCAUGUAGGAUGGAGAUAUAGAUGCGCUAAAGGCUACUUGCUGUGAUUUUGUUGGGCAGGUGGGGACGGUUAUUCUGUCACCAUGGCGCAGGAGUGGCUGUGUGGUAAGUAGCUUGCUAACCAACCACAUGGUUCCGGGUUCAGUCCCACUGCGUGGCAUCUUGGGCAAGUGUCUUCUACUAUAGCCUCAGGCCGACCAAUGCCUUGUGAGUGGAUUUGUUAGACGGAAACUGAAAGAAGCCCGUCGUAUAUAUGUAUAUAUAUAUAUGUAUAUAUAUAUAUAUAUAUAUAUAUAUAUAUAUAUAUAUGUGUGUGUGUGUGUGUGUGUGUGUGUGUGUAUGUGUUUGUGUGUCUGUGUUUGUCCCCCUAGCAUUGCUUGACAACCGAUGCUGUUGUGUUUACGUCCCCGUCACUUAGCAGUUCGGCAAAAGAGACCGAUAGAAUAAGUACUGGGCUUACAAAGAAUAAGUCCCGGGGUAGAUUUACUCGACUAAAGGCGGUGCUCCACCAUGGCCGCAGUCAAAUGACUGAAACAAGUAAAAGAGUAAAAGAGUAUGGUUAUUUUUGCCUGUUUUCCCAAGCAGUUCGUUGUAGAGUCUUUUGUUGAUAUCUUUCGUGAAGGCCCCCAAACCCCUUCGGGAUAUUUUGUUAUAUGUGAUUUGUGAUGUUACAGGAUAUUUAUGUGUGGUGUUUGAUGGUGUGAUGAAAUUGAUGUUUGUGACGUCUGUAUGGUUGUAUAUGUGUGCCAUUAAUUCUUUAUUGUUUGUGUUUAUUGCUGUGUAGUUGAUGGUGUCAGGUUGUGCGGGCUGGACGUUGUGCGUGUCAACUGAGUUGUGCUUGUGGUGAUGUCGACGGCGCUGACAGUGAUGUUGCUGUUGUUGAUGGUGGUGGUGCGGUUGCUAACGGAGAAGGUGUUUGUGUGUUUAUUUUGUUAUGUGUCUGCUCAAUGUCAUCAUACAUGCCAGAUUUUUGUGUUUAAGUUGGUGAAAUUUUGUUCCUUUUUCGGGCUACUUGUAGUCAUUGAGGUCCUUCUUUCUCCUCCUCCACACUGGACAUGUCUGAGUAUUCCGGAGAGGGUAUAGGCUAAUCUUGUGGGGCUUUUCUUUACGCUUUGUUGGUAAGAUUGUCGUUGUUGUUUUGAGGGGUACUCAUGCUGUUGUUUUUGUUACUGUUUGGUGUGUGGAAUGCAUAGCUGUUGGUGAGUUGCUUGUUUGUUUGUUUUUUUGCUGUUGUCUUCUUCUUCUUCCCAUCAGGACUCACGUUAUUAGCCACAAAGAAUAAUCUCUAAUUCGAGCCUACUCUAAGCUACUUAGAAUGCGUGUGGCAACUUGAACUAGACUGGCAGUUGCACGGGUGCGAAAGCUACGUUGUUAUCCUCAUUCUGUAAAUGGUGGCUUUUAACGGGUGGAGAGCUGAACCAUCCCGGGGUACAGAGGAUUCGCAAUCUAGACUAGGGUCUGAAAGUUUACCACACCCUAGUGGGUUACACUAUGGUUCCUCUGCUUUGUGGCAGAAGUAGGAAGAAAGAUUGUGAGAAAGUUGUGGCGAAAUCUGCAAGUGUUUCACACGAAAGAAUUCUUAUUUCAUUUUUUACUUUCUCUUCACUUUCCUACUUAUUUUUGUUUCUCUAGUUGGUCCUCGGCAAAGAAACAUCUAAGUGAAUUCCAGAUACAACAAAUCCCAAAAUUAGCCGUAGUGGAAACAAACACAGAGAAAGCUAAGCAUAUGAAAACAUGUGCUAAAACUUCAACUUUUAAUUUGUUGUCUCUUGUGGUUUUCUGGGUGAGACUUGAAGUCAAUUUGUACAAAUAGAAAGCAAAAGUCAAACAUAUAAUAAUAAUAAUAAUAAUAAUAAUAAUAAUAAUAAUAAUAAUAAUAAUAAUAAUAAUAAUAAUAAUAAUAAUAAUAAUAAUAAUAAUGAUAAUAAUAAUAAUAAUAAUAAAACAAAUCUUUUAUUUGCCACAAGGGUACAUUAUGGUACAUAGAAUACAAAUGGUUACAAAAUGUAAACAAUAAAAAUAUAUCUUCAUUAUUGAAAAGAGCAAAGCCAUGCAAUGCAAACUAUCAAACGAAAAGAUGUUUGCAAAACCUGUUUUGAUUCAUUUCUGCCAAAUGGGUUCGGGCUGAAACGAAAUAGAACCUGUUGGGUCUGGUUAAAAUUUUAGUUCACAAACCGAUUCCAAUGAAAGCAAUCCACCCGCAUUGUAGUGCAAGCCAUCAUUUCGGCAGGAUUUAGACACCACGCAAUUCUGUUUGCUUUCUGCAAAUAAACUCUUCCGGAUUUGUCUUUGAAUGUCUAUGAGCAUCUAUGGGACAUGAAGCUUCUCACACACCUGCGAUGACUGUGAUGACUGGUUUUGCUACCUUUAUAUACGAACCAGGUCAUAUUUUUUUCACGGAAUCAGUCGUUUUUGUCUUCUAUUAAUUUUCCCAAACUCCUACAUCUGCUUUGCAUUCAAUUACAUUCUAAUUCGGCUCAUUCGGCGUCUUUCUCUGGAUCCCUCUUCCAACAGAUGCGAUCUUGAGUUCUAAACACCUCGAUGUCGGCAAACACUUCCAGAGGAACUACUGUCUUUUUAUUGUCUUUUUUUUUUAAUAUCGUCAUUUUUAUCUCCUUUUACUUCCUCUUUCUGGCUAAUUACCAUAAUCCUUUUCUAGUUUCUUUCAGACAAAAAUCAUGCCUCCUCAUUGAAAUGACUAUCGCAAUCGACAUAAAUGUAUUUUUCAAGACCUCCCAAAAAAUGAGCAAAUAUAAAGAUCUUGAAAUAGUAAUUGGCAAAAUGUGGAACUUCAAGACUAAAACAAUACCUGUUAUCAUCGGUGCCCUAGGAAUGGUAGCAAAAGGGGCUGAUUGCUACCU
rnacentral:lncRNA from 1 species